AGAGUUUGAUCCUGGCUCAGAACGAACGCUGGCGGCAGGCCUAACACAUGCAAGUCGAACGCUCGUAGCAAUACGAGAGUGGCAGACGGGUGCGGAACACGUGGGAACAUACCCUUUGGUUUGGAAUAACUCAGGGAAACUUGAGCUAAUACCGGAUAAGCCCGUAAGGGGAAGGAUUUAUCGCCGAAGGAUUGGCCCGCGUCCGAUUAGCUAGUUGGUGAGGUAAUGGCUCACCAAGGCGACGAUCGGUAGCUGGUCUGAGAGGAUGAUCAGCCACAUUGGGACUGAGACACGGCCCAAACUCCUACGGGAGGCUGCAGUGGGGAAUAUUGGACAAUGGGCGCAAGCCUGAUCCAGCCAUGCCGCGUGAGUGAUGACGGCCCUAGGGUUGUAAGGCUCUUUCACCCACGACGAUAAUGACGGUAGUGGGAGAAGAAGCCCCGGCUAACUUCGUGCCAGCAGCCGCGGUAAUACGAAGGGGGCUAGCGUUGUUCGGAUUUACUGGGCGUAAAGUGCACGUAGGCGGAUCUUUAAGUCAGGGGUGAAAUGCCGGAGCUCAACUUCGGAACUGCCUUUGAUACUGGAGAUCUUGAGUUCGGGAGAGGUGAGUGGAACUGCGAGUGUAGAGGUGAAAUUCGUAGAUAUUCGCAAGAACACCAGUGGCGAAGGCGGCUCACUGGCCCGAUACUGACGCUGAGGCGCGAAAGCGUGGGGAGCAAACAGGAUUAGAUACCCUGGUAGUCCACGCCGUAAACGAUGGGAUGCUAGCCGUUAGGCAGCUUGCUGCUUAGUGGCGCAGCUAACGCUUUAAGCAUCCCG
rnacentral:rRNA from 1 species